rnacentral:rRNA from 1 species
UACAGAGGGUGCGAGCGUUAAUCGGAAUUACUGGGCGUAAAGGGCGCGUAGGCGGCCGUUUGCGUCGGAUGUGAAAGCCCGGGGCUCAACCUCGGAACGGCAUUCGAUACGGGACGGCUGGAGACCGGGAGAGGAGAGUGGAAUAGCCAGUGUAGAGGUGAAAUUCGUAGAUAUUGGCUGGAACACCGGUGGCGAAAGCGGCUCUCUGGCCCGGUUCUGACGCUGAGGCGCGAAAGCGUGGGGAGCAAACAGG